UCCUCGCCAUGCCACCGCCGCUUCA
rnacentral:miRNA from 1 species